UGGGGAUAAUACCCUAUAGACUAUAGAUGCUGGAAUGCUCUGUAGCCGAAAGGUCCGCCGCCGUAGGAUGGGUCUGCGGCCGAUUAGGUUGUUGUUGGGGUAACGGCCCAACAAGCCUGUAAUCGGUACGGGUUGUGGGAGCAAGAGCCCGGAGAUGGAUUCUGAGACACGAAUCCAGGCCCUACGGGGCGCAGCAGGCGCGAAAACUUUGCAAUGCGGGAAACCGUGACAAGGGAACUCUGAGUGCCCGUAAAAUCGGGCUGUCCAUCGGUUUAAAAAACCGGUGAAGAAAGGGCCGGGCAAGACCGGUGCCAGCCGCCGCGGUAAUACCGGCGGCUCGAGUGGUGGCCACUAUUACUGGGCUUAAAGCGUUCGUAGCUGGUUUGUUAAGUCUCUGGGGAAAUCUUCCGGCUUAACCGGAAGGCGUCUCAGGGAUACUGGCAGACUAGGGACCGGGAGAGGUGAGAGGUACUCCAGGGGUAGGAGUGAAAUCCUGUAAUCCUUGGGGGACCACCUGUGGCGAAGGCGUCUCACCAGAACGGCUCCGACAGUGAGGGACGAAAGCUGGGGGAGCAAACCGGAUUAGAUACCCGGGUAGUCCCAGCUGUAAACGAUGCGCGUUAGGUGUAUCGGUGACCACGAGUCACCGAGGUGCCGAAGAGAAAUCGUGAAACGUGCCGCCUGGGAAGUACGGUCGCAAGGCUGAAACUUAAAGGAAUUGGCGGGGGAGCACCACAACGGGUGGAGCCUGCGGUUUAAUCGGACUCAACGCCGGGAAACUCACCAGAUAAGACAGCUGAAUGAUUGUCGGGCUGAAGACUCUACAUGACUAGCUGAGAGGAGGUGCAUGGCCGUCGUCAGUUCGUACUGUGAAGCAUCCUGUUAAGUCAGGCAACGAGCGAGACCCGGCCC
rnacentral:rRNA from 1 species